AUAAAUUAAAACUUUCAACAACGGAUCUCUUGGCUCUGGCAUCGAUGAAGAACGCAGCGAAAUGCGAUAAGUAAUGUGAAUUGCAGAAUUCAGUGAAUCAUCGAAUCUUUGAACGCACAUUGCGCCCGCCAGUAUUCUGGCGGGCAUGCCUGUUCNN
rnacentral:rRNA from 1 species